rnacentral:rRNA from 1 species
GCUUGUCUCAAAGAUUAAGCCAUGCAUGUCUAAGUAUAAACUGCUUAUACUGUGAAACUGCGAAUGGCUCAUUAAAUCAGUCAUAAUUUAUUUGAUGGUACCUACUACUCGGAUAACCGUAGUAAUUCUAGAGCUAAUACGUGCGCACAACCCGACUUCUGGAAGGGUCGUAUUUAUUAGAUAAAAGGCCAGCCGGGCUCUGCCCGACCUGCGGUGAAUCAUGAUAACUUCACGAAUCGUAUGGCCCUGUGCCGACGAUGUUUCAUUCAAAUUUCUGCCCUAUCAGCUUUCGACGGUAGUGUAGUGGACUACCGUGGCGUUAACGGGUAACGGAGAAUUAGGGUUCGAUUCCGGAGAGGGAGCCUGAGAAACGGCUACCACAUCCAAGGAAGGCAGCAGG